rnacentral:rRNA from 1 species
UACGUAGGUGGCAAGCGUUGUCCGGAUUUAUUGGGUUUAAAGGGUGCGUAGGCGGCUUGGCAAGUCGGGUGUGAAACCUCCAGGCUCAACCUGGAGACGCCACCCGAUACUGCCAUGGCUAGAGUCCGGUAGGGGACCACGGAAUUCCUGGUGUAGCGGUGAAAUGCGCAGAUAUCAGGAGGAACACCGGUGGCGAAGGCGGUGGUCUGGGCCGGAACUGACGCUGAGGAGCGAAAGCGUGGGGAGCGAACAGG